GACGAACGCUGGCGGCGUGCCUAAUACAUGCAAGUCGAACGCAGUUGCGAACGGGUGAGUAACGCGUAGGUAACUGCCGCAUAGCGGGGGAUAACUAUUGGAAACGAUAGCUAAUACCGCAUACUGUGAGAUGGACCUUCGUUGUAUUAGCUAGUUGGUGAGGUAAAGGCUCACCAAGGCGACGGUACAUAGCCGACCUGAGCGGGUGAUCGACCAACAUGGGAAUUGAGCACGGCCCAGACCCCUUCGGGAGGCAGGAGUUGGGGAGUAUCGGCAAUGGAGGGAAGUCUGACCGAGCCACGCCGGGUGAGUGAAGAAGGUUUUCGGGUCGUAAAGCUCUGUUGUGAGGGAAGCGGUAACGAACCAGAAAGGGACGGCUAACUACGUGCCAGCAGCCGCGGUAAUUC
rnacentral:rRNA from 1 species